rnacentral:lncRNA from 1 species
AUGAAAUCCAUUCUGCCUAUUUGCACCAAAUCAGAGUUUGGAGCUCAAGGCCUCCUUUUCCCGCAGCUGUCUCUAUAGGAGACUUCCAUUCCCAACCAUCUCUUUUAUCUCUUUCUUCCCUUUUUUCCAUGGCUAAGUCUGAUGAGGAAAGGAGCUGGGAUAUAUAUGCUGGUUCGAAGGGUGCUUUUUUCUCUUUGAUAAUACCCCCUGGUUCCUUGGAUGUUUUGGCUUUGAAACUUGCUCCCUCCAUGUGCUGGAACCUCCCAGCAGCUUUGUUCAAUGAUCCUGCAGACUUUCUCUACGUGGCUUCUAUUUUC